GACGAACGCUGGCGGCGUGCUUAACACAUGCAAGUCGAACGGAGUGGCGAACGGGUGAGUAACACGUGGGUGAUCUGCCUUGCACUUCGGGAUAAGCUUGGGAAACUGGGUCUAAUACCGGAUAGUGCAAGAUGAGUUUGGGGCCAAUCAGCUGGUUGGUGGGGUAAUGGCCUACCAAGGCGUCGGCGGGUAGCCGGCCUGGGAGGGUGUACGGCCACAUUGCGCCUAAGGUACGGCCCAGACGGCUACGGGAGGCAGCAGGGGGAAAUAUUGCCCAAUGGGCGGAAGCCUGAUGCAGCGACGCCGGGUGUGGGAUGAAGGCCUUCGGGUUGUAAACUCCAUUAGACAGGGACGCGGUACCUGUAUAAGAAGCACCGGCUAACUACGUGCCAGCAGCCGCGGUAAUAC
rnacentral:rRNA from 1 species